rnacentral:lncRNA from 1 species
AUUCUUUAUUCACUACUCAUAUUUCUGUGGCUUCCUUGAUCCAGGUCUCUGAUGUCUCUCAUUUCUUCUUAGCUUAAGGUAGGAUCAGUCCUAGAUCAGACAACAGAGAAAAAUGAUAGCAUCUGACUCUUGAGUCUCAGCUCCACUUUGAGGCCCUCCUUUACACUCUGGGUGCUCACGUCUCCCCUUUGUCCUCUGCCCCAGCUGUGAUGUGCCCUCUUGGCUUCAUGCUCUGCAGUUGCUUCUCUCUCCCUUAGUUCGAGAUCUCAGGGAGAGUCAAGUACAUGCAACUACCCUACCUUUUCAGACAUCAGUUUCUUCAUCUGAAAUAAAGAAAAUGCAAGAGAAACUGUCUUAUCCAAGAGAGAGAGGACUGUUUCUGGAAAACAACAGAAAAAGUUGAGGAAUCAUUAAAUAAAUG